rnacentral:rRNA from 1 species
AUGCCACCGUGCCGCACACUAACCGGUAAGGAAGCGAUGGCAUCCUGCCGCGACAAGUUCCUCGCCGCCCAGGACCGCACACAAAAUGGUAGGGAAGCGAUGGCAUCCCACCGUGCUGAGUUCAUCGCCGCUCGCGACCUCACACCUAGGUGGGCGGACUUUGAAGCUGCCAAGGCCGAAUGGGUGGUAGAGCAAGAGGCGGCCAAAGCCACACAGUGGGAGCGGAAAAGGCAGAAAGCACUCAAGAAAAGAGAGGCCCGCCGCCGCAAGAAAAAAGAGGACGCGCGCGCUACUGCGGAGAGCUCGGCGAAGAUCCAAGCACGAUGGGUGUCGCCGACAAAGCCGGGAGGAGAACGACGACGUCUGGCCAACAUGUGA